rnacentral:piRNA from 1 species
CNCAAGUGCUUUGCUGGUUCACACCGGGA